GAGCUUGGGCUGGCAGGCCUACACAUGCAAGUCGAGCGGCAGCGGGAAAGUACCUUGUUUCUUUUGCCGGAGAGCGGCAGAGGGGAGAGUAGUGCCUGGAAAAGUGCCCUAUCGAGGGAGAUAACCUGUGAAAACGACUGCUAAUACCGUGUACGCCCUACGGGGGAAAGCGGGGUACCUUCGGCUCUUGCUCGAUUGUGUAUGCCCAUGGGGGAUUAGCUUGUUGGGGAGGUAAUGGCUCCCCAAGGCCACUAUCCCUAGCUGGUCUGAGAGGAUGAUCACCCACUGUGGAACUGACACACGGUCCACACUCCUACGGGAGGCAGCAGUGGGGAAUAUUGCACUGUGGGGGAAACCCUGAUGCACCCGUGCCGCGUGUGUGAAAAGGGUCUUCGGUUUGUAAAGCACUUUCCGCGAAGAAGAGAGGUUGGAAGCUAAUACCUGCCAACUGUGACUUCCCUCGCAAAAAAAACCCCGUAUAUCUCCGUGCCAGCACCCGCGAAUAUACAGAGGGUGCACGCGUUUCUCAAAUUUUCUGGGCGUAAAGCGCACGCGCGCGGUUGGAUAACUUAUAUGUAAAACCCCCGGUCUCCUCCUGAAAAUUGCAUUUAACACUGUGCAGCUAGACUCUUGUAGAGGGGGGUAGAAUUCCAGGUGUAGCGGAGAUAUGCAUAGAUAUCUGGAAGUAUACCGGUGGAGAGCGCCGCCCUGUGGACAAACACUGACUCUCAUGUGCGAAAGCGUGGAGAGCACACGAUAUUAUAUACCCUGGUACCCCACUCCAUACAAUAUGUCUAUUUGGAGGCUGUGCCCUUGACACGUGUUUUCCAGAGCUCACGCUAUAUAUCGAGCGUCUGGAGAGCACGGCGCGCAGGGAUAAACACUCAUAUGAUUUGACGGGGCCCCGCACGCGCGGGGGAGUAUGUGGUUUAUUCUAGAUGACGCGCAAAAACCUAUCCCUGCUCUUCAUACGUCUGAAAUUCUUGUAGAGAUACGAGAGUGCUUUCGGAAUCAGAAACACGUGUGCCUGCAUGGUGUGUCCUCCGUCUCGUUGUCGUGAAGAUUGUGGGUUAAAAUGUCCCCGCACACGAGCGCACCUUCAUGCUCUUUUUUGUGCCAGCACUGAAUGGGGGAAUCUCAGGGAACCUGCUGCCGGGAGUAUACCGGAGAGAAGGUGGGAGAUGAACCUCAGUCUCCUCUGGGGCCCCUUAUCAGGUCA
rnacentral:rRNA from 1 species